rnacentral:tRNA from 1 species
AAUAUGAUCAGCUAAUUAAGCUAAUGAGUUCAUACCUCAUAAAUGGAAUAGUGAUAUCUCCCUCUAUUU